AUGGGUGUGUGUGCAUGUGUGUGUAUUAGCCAGGGUGUACGUGGGUGUGUGUGUAUUAGCCAGGGUGUAUGUGCGUGUGUGUGUAUUAGCCAGGGUGUGUGUGCGUGUGUGUGUAUUAGCCAGGCAUGGUGUCUUGCUCUUGUAGAGUGUGUGUGUGUAUUAGCCAGGGUGUGUGUGCGUGUGAGUAUUAGCCAGGGUGUGUGUGUAUUAGCCAGGGUGUGUGUGUGUGUGUGUGUGUGUAUAUUAGCCAGGCCUGCUGUCUUGCUCCUGUAGUCCUGUCUCCUCCAGAUGCUAAGGCACCAGAAUCACAUGAUCCCAAGAGUUCGAGCAGGCACUGCACUGUGAUGGCACCACUGCACUCAAGCCUGAGCAACAGAAUGAGAUCCUGUCUCAAAAAAAAAAAUGUUUUUAAGGUGAAAGAGAAAAAACAAAUUGGAUAUGAAUAUUUGCAACACAUAUAAAAGAAUGAAAGAUUUGAAUUAGAACAAAAGAAGGGUAAGAAAAGUUCCUACAAAUUAUUACGAGAAAGACAACCCGAAAGAAAAAUAGGCAGAAGAUAUAAACAGGCGUUUCACAGAAAUGGGGAAACAUCAAAGACUGCUGAAUAAUGGCGGUCAGGGAAGUACGAAUUAAGACCUGGAGACUAACAGCAGGAAGUUGUGGGGCAGAUGUGUAUCCGAAUGCACAGCUGCUUCGAGUGUAAAUCGAUGCCAUCCAAUUAUUAGAAGGAUGCGGCAGGAGCAGCUAAAGUUGCCCAAUUCCAUGCCGGAGCCACGUCACUCAAAGCGAGGUCUGUGGGUUCACAGCAUCGCUGUCCCUUCCAGGACUCCCCCAAAACGGACUGAACCUGAAUCUGCAUUUUCAUGAGAUCCCAGCUGGUCCACAUACACACGAAAGUCUGAGCAGCCCUAGUCUAGAGAAAUGCUUGCUCACAUACAGCCGGAGAUGUGCCAGAGGAUGUUCGUGGCCCUGUUCCCAAUGAUUAAAAAGCAAAAAGAGCACAAAUGCCCACUGAAGUAAAUAGAUGAAUAAAUUGUGUAUAGUUACACA
rnacentral:lncRNA from 13 species